UGGCGGAGAACUCCUUAAUUUUUUUGAAGACUAUGGAUCCCGGGGGGUGGAAGAAUCAACAGAAGAUCACAUCACAGGGCCAUGGCCAAGUCCAGCUGGACGUGGACCCGCCGGCCCCACGUCCGUGGAUGUAACCCAGCAGAGAGCAGAGGAUGUAGGAGAUAAAGUUUCUCUGUUCGGGAAGAGAUUGGAAACCAGCUUCAAAGGAAAGAGAGGGGUGUUGUGGUUGAGGUUUGGGUCUCUGAGAAAGACAUCAUUCCAGCCGAAACACUUAACAAACCAAACCCACAGAAUGGGAAAUUCUAGACUCUUUGGUUGAGAGCACCUGGAGCGGGGGUCUUACUGAUCUCUCUCCUCUGGGCUGCAACACUUUCGAUAUGUCUCUCACAGCUUCGGCCUGGAUUAAGCAAGGCCUUUCUUCAUUCUCGGGGGGUUUCUUCUCUGCAACCUGACCACCCCUCGCCAGACUCUAAGCAGUUUAAAUCCAGAGGCCAUUUUUCCCUCUCCCCUGGAAUCCAUCUGAGUUAUGGCAGGUGGCAGCGUAUCCUUAAUGGGGAUGUACUUGACAAACCUGAGUUCCCUUGAAGACUCCUGCAUCCUUCUCAGAGCCCAGCAUUGCAGCGGCCUGAGGCAGAAACUCAACAAAGACCCAUCGAAUGAACAGGCAAUAAUUGGCUGGAAUGGCUCUCUUCCUGGCCAGUUGGAAAACUGAAAUCCCUACGGACUGCUUCCUGUUUUGCUACACCAGCCUCAUUUCUGGAAGAAGGAAAGGUGAGGAUAAAAUCAGACGAGAAAGGACCACGAAAGCAGGGUCUUGAAUGCAAUCUUUCCCUGAGAAAGAGAAGCUGUGGAACAGGAAACAUGCCUGCCUUUUCUUUCUCUCCCAGGCAGCCUGGUUAUUGUGUUUCUAGGCAGAAAAAGACAUACUUCCCAGAGCGGCCCAGAGAAGGGGGUUCAGUAAAAUCUAGGCCUCCAGGUGCUUUCAACCAGAGUCUAUUGGACUUUUGACCUUUUAAAUACUACAAAAAAAAAAAGUUUUUUGUACCUUCUCAUUUAUGAAGUAUAUCCAAGUGGGACAAACCAAAAAUAAAAUGAAGCCCGUCCUUUGAACAAUCAC